rnacentral:rRNA from 1 species
UACAGAGGGGGCAAGCGUUGUUCGGAAUUACUGGGCGUAAAGGGCGCGUAGGCGGCCUUCUAAGUCGAACGUGAAAUCCCCGGGCUCAACCCGGGAACUGCGUCCGAUACUGGAAGGCUUGAAUCCGGGAGAGGGAUGUGGAAUUCCAGGUGUAGCGGUGAAAUGCGUAGAUAUCUGAAGGAACACCAGUGGCGAAGGGCAGCCAUCUGGACCGACACUGACGCUGAUGCGCGAAAGCGUGGGGGAGCAAACAGGG